rnacentral:lncRNA from 1 species
CUUCUUCUUCUUUUCUUUGGCACCCGAUGCUGUUAGGGGCUCAUUUUCGAAGGCUUCAUUCGUCCGGACAUAUUUUUCUGCUCCAACAAGUAUCGAAGAUCAUUCUUCAAAAAUCUAUCCUUUAGGAUAGUUAUUGCGAUGGACUGAUCCAGAUCAUGAACCUCCAGCACGGUCGCAUUGAAAUGGCUGAUGUAGGAUCGGAGCAACUCUCCUUCCUUCUGCUUGAUGUUGAUCAGUGAAUCCAAUCCCUUGUACUGCCUCCUGCUACUGACAAAACGAGUCAUAAAUAAGCAACUCAUCUGAUCGAACGAGUGAAUGGUCCUAGGCUUCAGGGUCGAGUAUCAGUGCUAGGCUAGAUCCUUUAGAGUAGAUGGGAAGGCUUAGCACAGGAC